UACGUAGGGUGCGAGCGUUGUCCGGAAUUAUUGGGCGUAAAGAGCUCGUAGGCGGUUUGUCGCGUCUGCCGUGAAAGUCCGGGGCUCAACUCCGGAUCUGCGGUGGGUACGGGCAGACUAGAGUGAUGUAGGGGAGACUGGAAUUCCUGGUGUAGCGGUGAAAUGCGCAGAUAUCGGGAGGAACACCUAUGGCGAAGGCAGCUCGCUGGGACGUUACUGACGCUGAGACGCGAAAGCGUGGGGAGCAAACAGG
rnacentral:rRNA from 1 species